rnacentral:rRNA from 1 species
UACGGAGGGUGCAAGCGUUGCUCGGAAUCACUGGGCGUAAAGCGCCCGCAGGCGGCCUGACAAGUCGGAUGUGAAAGCCCUGGGCUCAACUCAGGAAUUGCAUUCGAAACUGGCAGGCUUGAGUACGGGAGAGGGGGGUGGAAUUCCUGGUGUAGCGGUGAAAUGCGCAGAUAUCAGGAGGAACACCGAUGGCGAAGGCAGGUCUCUGGGCCACUACUGACGCUGAGAAGCGAAAGCAUGGGGAGCGAACAGG